UGAACUCCUGGAAGGCACUCGGGUACCACGGAGCUGUGAACAGCAGAGGAGUUGAGGUGGGACACAAUUAUCCAUCUACAUUAAAUUAAUUUUCACUCUGUUUUCCUAUCAGGCUCACUACUGCAAAAACAGAAGGGAUGAGGUUCCAUGGAGGUGGUUUACAAGAACUUUUGCAUAGCAGUGGCUCUGUAUGAGAAUUUCUGGUUAUGGCUGUGAAAAUAUUGCUGCUACUUUUUUAUAUCUACUUUGUGGGAGUUUAGCUGGUCUCAGACAACACUGGCUGCAAUCUUUUCAUCUCAACAGAUUCGCUGUGGGAAAGCUAUUGGCACAAAACUGAUUUCUGUGUUUCAGUAAUAUUGUAUCAAUUUAAAUGAAAAAAGCCCUGGAUCUUUU